rnacentral:lncRNA from 1 species
GUUUGAUGACUUCUUCCUUGAACGUACGUGUGCUAAGAUCUCUGAAAAAUGCUCUGAUGACUGUAUAUUGCAAAAGUAAUCAAAUUAAUAACAUUUCAUAACAUAUAUAUGUAUAUAUAUUAUAAAAUUAUAAUUACCUGCAAGUGCUUCAUUGAUAUUUGCCGGAAGGAGCUCGGCAAAAGCAAAUGGAAGUAGUCGUUGCAUAAACACAUGACAAUCAUGACUCUUCAUUCCGGAGAAUUUUUGACCCCGUUCAACACGUCUUGACAGAUUAGAAACAUAACCAUCAGGAAACUUAACUUCUGAUGCAACCCAGUCAAACAAGAUUGUUUUGGCUUCUGAUGACAACCGGAAGAUGGGAACAU